rnacentral:rRNA from 1 species
GACGAACGCUGGCGGCGUGCUUAACACAUGCAAGUCGAACGGAAAGGCCCUGCUCUUGUGGGGUGCUCGAGUGGCGAACGGGUGAGUAACACGUGAGUAACCUGCCCUUGACUUUGGGAUAACUUCAGGAAACUGGGGCUAAUACCGGAUAGGAUCUCCUGCUGCAUGGGGGGGGUUGGAAAGUUUCGGCGGUUGUGGAUGGUCUCGCGGCUUAUCAGCUUGUUGGUGGGGUAGUGGCUUACCAAGGCUUUGACGGGUAGCCGGCCUGAGAGGGUGACCGGCGACAUUGGGACUGAGAUAGGGCCCAGAAUCCUACGGGAGGCAGCAGUGGGAAAUAUUGCACAAUGGGCGGAAGCCUGAUGCAGCAACGCCGCGUGCGGGAUGACGGCCUUCGGGUUGUAAACCGCUUUCGACUGUGACGAAGCGUGAGUGACGGUAAUGGGUAAAGAAGCACCGGCUAACUACGUG